rnacentral:rRNA from 1 species
GUGUCAGCAGCCGCGGUAAUACGUGGGGUGCAAGCGUUGUUCGGAAUUACUGGGCGUAAAGCGCGUGUAGGCGGCCUAUUAAGUCUGGUGUGAAAUCCCUGAGCUUAACUCAGGAAUUGCAUUGGAAACUGGUGGGCUUGAGUCCAGAAGAGGGUGGUGGAAUUCCUGGUGUAGAGGUGAAAUUCGUAGAUAUCAGGAGGAACACCGGUGGCGAAGGCGGCCACCUGGGCUGGUACUGACGCUGAGACGCGAAAGCGUGGGGAGCAAACAGGAUUAGAUACCCUGGUAGUCCACGCUGUAAACGAUGAGUGCUAGAUGUUGCGGGUAUUGACCCCUGCAGCGUCGCAGGUAACCCAUUAAGCACUCCGCCUGGGAAGUACGGCCGCAAGGCUAAA